GGCGACCGGCAAACGGGUGCGGAACACGUACACAAUCUACCUUUAUCUGGGGUAUAGCCCGAAGAAAUUCGGAUUAAUCCCCCAUAAGAUAUUAGAGUGGCAUCACUUAGAUAUUAAAACUCCGGUGGAUAAAGAUGAGUGUGCGUCCCAUUAGCUAGUUGGUAGGGUAACGGCCUACCAAGGCAACGAUGGGUAGCUGGUGUGAGAGCACGACCAGCCACACGGGCACUGAGACACGGGCCCGACUCCUACGGGAGGCAGCAGUGAGGAAUAUUGGUCAAUGGACGCAAGUCUGAACCAGCCAUGCCGCGUGAAGGAUGAAGGCCUUCUGGGUUGUAAACUUCUUUUAUUGGGGAAGAAAAUUACGGUUUCUGCUGUAACCGACGGUACCCAAGGAAUAAGCACCGGCUAACUCCGUGCCAGCAGCCGCGGUAAUACGGAGGGUGCAAGCGUUAUCCGGAUUCACUGGGUUUAAAGGGUGUGUAGGCGGGCAUUUAAUUCAUUGGUGAAAUCUCCGAGCUCAACUCGGAAACUGCCAUUGAUACUAUUUGUCUUGAAUAUCGUUGAGGUUGGCGGAAUAUAUCAUGUAGCGGUGAAAUGC
rnacentral:rRNA from 1 species